rnacentral:misc_RNA from 1 species
GGAAGUAAAAGCCGUAACAAGGUUUCCGUAGGUGAACCUGCGGAAGGAUCAUUAUUGGAUUUUGAAACUUCAGGCUGCUGCUGGCUCUCCUCGGAGGGCAUGUGCACGCUUGUUGUCCAUUAUUUCUCCCACUGUGCACAAAUUGUAGACCUUUCAGUAGGCCUAUGUUGUUUUUCACAAUCUCUGAAUGUAAUAGAAUGGUUUUGAAUCUUGGGAAAUACAAUACAACUUUCAGCAACGGAUCUCUUGGCUCUC